AAGUCGUAACAAGGUAACCGUAGGUGAACCUGCGGUUGGAUCAUUAACAAAUUAUUUAGGCCCCUGGAUGCCCCAAAAGGGCGAAGGGGGGAAACCUAAACAUUUGUGUGCACUAUAUCUGUCCUUGGCAGUUCGAGUGUCCUGAGUUGCGUAACUGCCUCAGGUACCUACCGAUGCUUUAUCCUUGGGUAUUGCUGAAGUUGGGCUGCCGCCUUUUGAACAAACCUUCUGUAUCUUUUUUUUGUCUGAAUUUGUUUGAUCUUUAUGAUUGAAUUUAAAUACAACUUUUGACAACGGAUCUCUUGGCUCUC
rnacentral:misc_RNA from 1 species